rnacentral:rRNA from 1 species
UUCCCGCCGGCGACCGGCGCACGGGUGAGUAACACGUAUGCAACCUGCCCUCUUCAGGGGGACAACCUUCCGAAAGGGAGGCUAAUCCCGCGUAUAUCGGUUUCGGGCAUCCGAGAUCGAGGAAAGAUUCAUCGGAAGAGGAUGGGCAUGCGGCGCAUUAGCUAGACGGCGGGGUAACGGCCCACCGUGGCGACGAUGCGUAGGGGUUCUGAGAGGAAGGUCCCCCACAUUGGAACUGAGACACGGUCCAAACUCCUACGGAAGGCAGCAG